rnacentral:rRNA from 1 species
GAUGAACGCUGGCGGCGUGCCUAAUACAUGCAAGUCGAGCGGACCAAAGAGAGCUUGCUCUCUGAGGUUAGCGGCGGACGGGUGAGUAACACGUGGGUAACCUGCCUGUAAGACGGGGAUAACUUCGGGAAACCGAAGCUAAUACCGGAUGAUAAAGAGAAACGCCUGUUUCUUUUUUGAAAGUCGGCCUUGUGCUGACGCUUACAGAUGGGCCCGCGGCGCAUUAGCUAGUUGGUGAGGUAACGGCUCACCAAGGCGACGAUGCGUAGCCGACCUAGGAGGGUGAUCGGCCACACUGGGGCUGAGACACGGCCCAGACUCCUACGGGAGGCAGCAGUAGGGAAUCUUCGGCAAUGGACGAAAGUCUGACCGAGCAACGCCGCGUGAGCGAUGAAGGCCUUCGGGUCGUAAAGCUCUGUUGUCAGAGAAGAACAAGUACCGGAGUAACUGCCGGUACCUUGACGGUACCUGACCAGAAAGCCACGGCUAACUACGUGCCAGCCGCCGCAGUAA